AUGGCAGAUGGGAAGGUGGGAAGGAGAAGGCUGAAAAGAUGCAGUGAGCUGGAGCCACUGGAGGACCUGAAGAAGAAGUGGAAAAAACGGUGAAAACUAAGGCUGUUUAUUCCAGUAAUGGAGGGAAAACUUCUGGUCGCAGCACUGAGAAGCCAUCAGCCGAAAAAGAAGCAGCAGUCCUCCCAACAAAGCCUACAAAGAUCAAGUUUAGAUCUACCACAGGUAGUCACAUGACAAAGAAAGCAUCAGCCAUAUCCAUCAAACUUAGAUUAAGUAAGCCUAAACUUGCUUCAAAAAUUCUUUUGGUAGCAGCAGGUUUUAAUGAAGAUGAAGGUAGUCAACCUGAGGCAAUGCCUCCAGAAGCAAAGAUGAGGAUUAAAAAUAUUGGAAGAAAUACAUUAACAUCAGCUGGACCAAACUCCUUCAAUAAAAGAAGCGUGUGUUUUUUGUUAACCAAAAGCUAUGGGAGCAAAAUAUAAAACCUCAUCUUGGUGUAAUGCCCAUGACUACGACAAUU
rnacentral:lncRNA from 1 species